CCGUGCGUAGAUACUCUUAACCAAAGUUUAUCUGACGUGAUCCAUCCACUAAAAACUAUUACACUUCUUUUACGCUUCGUUCUUUUUUUUUUGAUAAAUUAUUACACCUGUCGGAUUCUCCCGUGCCGUAUUCUCCACGGAGAGUCGGAGAGCUCCAGGGCCGGCCGGCAAAAAGGACCUUUCAUCUCUAAAUUUCCCUAUCAACUUUAUUUGCAAGCAAGCCCA
rnacentral:lncRNA from 1 species